ACAGAAGGCAGCAGUGGGGAAUAUUGCACAAUGGGGGAAACCCUGAUGCAGCGACGCCGCGUGAGUGAAGAAGUAUCUCGGUAUGUAAAGCUCUAUCAGCAGGGAAGAAAAUGACGGUACCUGACUAAGAAGCCCCGGCUAACUACGUGCCAGCAGCCGCGGUAAUACGUAGGGGGCAAGCGUUAUCCGGAUUUACUGGGUGUAAAGGGAGCGUAGACGGCGAUGCAAGUCUGAAGUGAAAGGCGGGGGCUCAACCCUUGGACUGCUUUGGAAACUGUAUUGCUAGAGUGCAGGAGAGGUAAGUGGAAUUCCUAGUGUAGCGGUGAAAUGCGUAGAUAUUAGGAGGAACACCAGUGGCGAAGGCGGCUUACUGGACUGUAACUGACGUUGAGGCUCGAAAGCGUGGGGAGCAAACAGGAUUAGAUACCCUGGUA
rnacentral:rRNA from 1 species